GAGAGCAUCGUCUUUGGGGACCAUGCUCAGAGGGUCGACAUAGGAGUCCCCACUUGCUCACUCGCUCGCACGGAGGAGGAGCGCGGCCUGAGGUCGCGACGCGAUACCGAGGUUGGAUCAACGUUCUUCAUCGAUGCGAGAGCCGAGAUAUCCGUUGCCGAGAGUCGUUGUAAAUAAUACGACAAGAAUGCUCCGCCCCGCGCACGCCGAGACCGUGGCAAGGGGCGGGGCGAAUUCGUUUGAGUUCCUUGGCGCGACCUGCGCCGGGGUUUGGUUUAGGCACCGAGGGGGGCAAGAGUGCUCCCCCCCGACACGAAAGGUUUGUAAACGCGUUCGCGGGUCGUUUGAUGUUUAGGCAUCGACAAUGAUCCUUCCGCAGGUUCACCUACGGAAACCUUGUUACGACUUCUCCUUCCUCUAAAUGAUAAGGUUCAG
rnacentral:misc_RNA from 1 species